CGCGGGGAAAUCAGAAACAAUGUUGGUACCCAUGAGUCAUUGAAGAAACUAAUACUGUUUACUCUGAAAACAGUAGAAAAGCAUCCUCCUCGAAUCUUAUUGUGCGGGGUGAAUAUCCAGAGCCGUCGAACAGUUUCAGGUUUAAAGUUCAACGGCUCUGCUUCGACGAAUCAUGGUACCAGCAGGAGAAGCACAAGUAUUUUUCUCCAGAGGAAAAGAUGCACAGGAGCUUAUCAAAAUCAUCGACCUAUAAAAUAUCGCUGGGUUGUCAUAAAGAAGAAUAAAAUUGUUGAAAGAUCGUGUGCCACGGUAGAAAAUACAAGCCGCUGGGUUAUCGUUCGUUUCUUCUGUCCUGAUGGUGUGUUCCAUAAAACGCGAUUGCACAAGAGAAUCAGGUAAUGCGAGCACAAUAAAAAAUUAUAUUCUUAUAUCGACGUAAAGCCCCUUCGCUUUAAUUUGUCCACCCUCGUAUCUAUUCUACUUCAUUUGUCUCCUCUGGUCUCUUCUCUUCUUUUCUUCAUCUUCAUUAGGUUCUGUUUCAUCGAACCAGUGUAUCCUGAUAAAAGCACGCAGUUCUUGGCCUUUCUCUCCCUGAAGUUUCGUUGUGAAGCGAGAAACUAACCGAACACCAUUGUUCCAUGAGACCCUUCAACCCUUUGCAAUUGGAUUUCUUCAGUUUGCUUCACUGAAAGCUAAUCAUUGAUUCUUCUUAAGAGAGCAGAAAAUAUAAAAGCAAAGAUUUCAAGUAACAGUUUUGAACGAUUGCAAAGGGUUGCUAUUUCUCCUUGGACCAUCUGAUCACCCCCAAUCGCACCUAUAACAAUUUUCUAUGACAAGUGGCAUCACUUAGAGGUACGAUGCAGGAGGUUGAUGAAGUGUGCGCUCAGAAGGUUCAUAGUGAACGAGGAAAGAAAGAUAUUGGCGAAAAGGAAUUGGAGAGCCAUUACGUGUCAGACUUAGUUCCUUCGCUCAGCUUUCUUCAAUCAAGGGGUUGUUUCAGAGCGACACACCAUCCUUCGAAGGGUUUCCCUUUUCAAGCUGGGAUAUCCAUGUCUCAUCACAUGGUAAUUAUUCUUAUCGAGUGUGUCUUUGUAUUGGAGAUGUUUAAAAUAAAAUAAAAUUUUUUUCCUUACAGAUCAACUAAGUUUCUAGUGGAUAUUAGUUAACUGAUUGUCACAUUGUUGCUUCUGCUAGUCAAUCUGUUUGUCAUUUUUGAAUAGAAGAUACCUUCCGUUGGAAAGUUUCAGCCUGUAACUUGGGAAUCCUUCGAUGGAUGCGUAUCACUCAUUCUCAAUUAAUAAUUAUGUAUACGUAGCAUAAUAUAUAGGUAUAGGUGUAUAUAUAACAACAGUUAAUCAUACAAAAUUGCGGCAGUGUGCUUUCACGUAUAAUUAAUGGUACGCGUUAUGUGUUGUCUUUUUUUUUUGUCAUUUUUGGACGCGUGAUUUCAUUGUUAUUAUUUUAAAAUUAGGAACGUCGAGGAACGCCGGACGCCGGAACGUUUUACUUUUUUAGGAUGACAUCCAAAGUCUUUAAUGAACUACACUUAUGUACAAAUAUUCUGGUCAGUCGGUAUAGGAUGACUCCUUUAAAAAGAGCAAAUUCGGUUUUCUUAUUGGGCCUGAUUAUACAGUUUCUUGCAGUUAUUUCUACUGCAAUAUUAUUGUGCAUUACAGUAUCUCCUACUGUUCUACUUAUUUCCUUUAAUAUUUCUCAUCUUUACACCAGUUUCUGUAAUAUUUCCUAUUACAGUAUUCUUUUAUUGCAACAUUUUCAUGAAGCAUAUUUGUUGCAAUGUUUCAUGGAAAUCUUUUGGUAAUGGUAAAAAUUUGUUACAGUCAUUUUCCACUGUAUACUUAUCACUCAUCGCAUUGAAUAGAAAAAGUACAAAGUAAUGGUACAAAUAUAAAAGGUAAUAAUAUAGUUUCAUAGUGUAUAUGAUUAAAAAAAUUAAUAUUAACUGCAGUUCAGACAAUAGGUAGUUCCUACAUCUCAUUGUAAUAUUCCAAGCUUAUAGCUUUUCAGACUUUUUGUAAAUUUUCAUUUAACCUCCUAAUUAUUUGAAGUACAGAAGAAGUUUAGGAACUACCUAGAUUUUCCAGAAAUGUUUCACUGAAACGUGAAAGGGGAGAUGGUAUCCGGCGUUCCAUCGCGCUUACACAUCGAACGACAGUGAAACAGUCGGGGGUUCGAUACAAUUAGGAUGCGACUAAUUAGUAUGGUACAAUGAAUUAUACAAUAAUCCUUGACUCUUGUCUACUCGAAAGAAACACCAUCCUGGUGGCAUAAUAAAAAUAACACUGCGUGAGAAAAGAAAUGACUACGUUGGUGUGUAUCUUUAUGCACACGUAUAUUAUGAAUACAUUAUGGGCACAGAUAUAUUUGCACGUUGCAACAGCAAUGUCCAAUGAAGAUAUUAAAAUAUUAUAAAUGUUACGCUUUUACUUUUUCAAAUAUUUAUAACUUAUUAAUUAGAAAUAAUUAGAUUUAGCGUAGUUUAACAUUUGAAGAUGCCAAUUGAAUUUACUCCGUAUUCCUGAACAAUGCUGAUGUACAAAUGCUGCAUAUAUCUUGUGACAUUUACAUAGACUGCAUUCACAUACAAGGGCACGAGCGAAAUAAAGCAAUGGUAAUAACAGUCAACCCCUUGAAGCUCUAAAUAUCUUCAACAGUAUACUUUCAUUAGCGUGAAAUACUGUUUCAAACAUUUCAUUUCCAUAUGAGAAGUGGAAGUUUUGCUUACGAACAGUUUAAUAUAUUGUUAAAGUAAUAUUUAGUAAUUUAGAGGCAACGUUUCUCCAAAGGGUUAACAAAUACCCACUGAUCCUAGCGUUAUCAUUAUCCUGCAUACGAUGCAUUUUAUACAUUAUUUAUAUGAAGUUGAACAAUAACUUUGUUCAGUCUGAAAUGUUUUUGUUAUCUCAACAAUAACAUCUGAGAAAGACAAAGUUAUUCAUUCAAACUCUGUGAAUCGCUAGAAAUUGUCAAAUAAACUAACUUUCUGAUUGUUCAUUUUAGGAACAUGUAUCUCCAACCAAACGAUGCUUCUCACAAUCAAUUAUUCUCUACGCUACAAACACCAAUACACUAGAACAACAAAAAUAUAACAAAUUAGCUGUUCGGCUCUUCCCAAGUGAAUCAACAAAAAGAAAUUAACUCAAAUGACAAUGUCUGACAAUUCACCCCGCAUAUAUGCGAACAGUUUAUUUAUAUAUAUUACCAACUAACAAUAAUAAUAGCAAUAAUAGUCGAGUUGUCGCUCGUGUCCCCGUCGACGAUAUCGUAGAACAAACGAACUCCGGUUCGUCCUCGUUAAAUGUUUUCUUCUUUACGUACACAAUAUAAUACUGGCUAUGUUUAGUCGUUUACAAGUUACAAUUAACUUUGUUUCAUUUUUCUUUUACUUGUAAUUAUUAUCGUUUCUCGGUGAGUUCGACUACUUUCCUUUUUUAGUUACUUCCCCUUUUUUCGAUCCACCUCGUCCUUCCAUUGUCUUCACUCUCAGUUCGUCAGUUUCCUAUUGUCAACAUGUACAAGAAGUGUUUGGAGUCGGUUUCUCAGCUCCUGAAUAUCUUUAUGUGUUAUAUUUAUUUAUCAGCAUCUGCGUGCACUUAUACCCAGUGCCUCGUUUCUUUCUCAUUCGUAUACGUGGACGCAGGCGUCGUGUACUUCAGCAGUUCCAUCGUGUUUCUGUAUACGAGGGCUAGCUAACCUCUACAAGUAAUAAUUUUUUAUCAAAAGCACAUGUAUAUCGUAACUAGCCUAUGUGUGUAUAUAUAAUAUGUAUAUAUAUAUAUUUAUAUAGUAUAUUGUAUAUAAAUCGACCGUUGUGUUUGUGUAAUUUGUUUUGUUAUGUGUUUACGUUAUUUCUCAUAUUUCUUCCUCGUUUCGCUUUCCUGCCCCCCCCCCCCCUCGUGCACCGUUCUCUUUUAUUCCUUCAGUGUGAUCAGUCUUUGUCGCCUUUCUUCUGCAGCCGGUGAAGAAACGUACCGGAACUGUUUAAAUUAUGAUCUCUGAACCUCGAGCAGCCGGGAAAUACCUUGAAUUUCAUUGAAAGAUCAACUGCAGAAGCGAUGUGCCUCUUUGAGCUGAGGGUGUGCGCGGUGAAUCGUUGGGUCUAACCAAACACUCGUCUCCGUCCCUUUGUUUAGAGAAUUUUUUAAUAAUUUGGAUAAUUUGUUUUUCAGUCGCUUUUUGUAAAUUUGUGCAGUUCCAAGACACAUGGGACGAUCUCAGAUGUUCCCUGUACGUUCCUUUCUGUUUCUUCAGUUUCUGCUCAUCAAUCGUAUCACUCCAAUCAAUGCUGGUCUUCUGAGAGAAGCUUUGGCGGGAUCUUCAAUGUAGAAAAGAACUUUACAUGGUUUUAUAUUUUCUUCUACGAUAUUUGUGCUUGAAGAAAGAUGCGUCAGACUUACAACGAACUCUUCAGCUGUGAAAAGAAAGAAUUGUGUUCUCUUUUAGAGCGGUAACUCAGUUUAUCUUCUUCGAAAGAAGAUUCAUAUGUAUAAUAAUGGAAUUUUGUGCAAACUUUUAUAAAUUAGGAACCUGUUCAUCGAUUACAGUUAUGAUAACUGUGAAAAGACAACGUACUUUGCAGCCAAAGAGUGAAAUCCUUCCAUGAACAUCACUGUAACGUUAGUUAGCAGUUUUCUUUGGUGUGUUACUCGACAGAUAUCUCACCGGUGAAUGAUUAUCAAAUGAAUUUUUAUGAAGAACAUGUAAAAGGCUUCCAGUCGGUCGUCAGAUCGUCAAUUUCAGCGUUAGAUAUUCUUUAAUCGCGAAGAUUUUUUAACGAAUAUUCGCAGUGGUCCCAUUAUGCGUAUCGUUCCACGUUUGGAAAACAAUGGUCGCUUUUAUUGUGCGUCUGGCGACAAAAUUCAGCCUUGAUUUAUCAUAGUUGCACGUUCGUUAUCGUUUGAACGUAUCCUUUUAGAAGAGCAUACAUGUAACUUGAUGCGCUGACUGCCAGAAAAAACACGUAUAAAUAUUUCCAAACACAACACAUCGUACAACAAAGAAAAUUCCCUAACACAGCCAACAAUGCACUAAUAUUCUCAAAGAAGAAAUCACUUGACUCGAUAAUGUUGAAUAUAGUAUAUAUCAGACUUAAGUCUUUGGUAUAGUUUGCUGUUCCAAGAACAGCAUGUAUUAAACUUCCAAAUCAUUGCAGUCAACGCGUUUAAAUAUCUUUGGAAAAUCAAAAAGAAGAACAUCUCUUCCUGUCUUUAGCUUUUGUCAACACACCACAAGAAUGUUGAAUUAAAAUGAAAGAGAAAUUCUUAACGCAUUUGUUCACCAUUCAAGGAUUUCUUCAAAACAAAGAAAAGCUUUGUUGUUGUAAAUUUGAAAAGUAGAAUUGAAAAUCAACACAGUUCUGAUCGGUGAACAAUGUUUUAAGAACUUACGUUCAUUCUUCCUUCCCUGAAUCAUUUGCAAAUAACAAAAUCCUCUCCUAGUUUAACAAGCUUCAAAUUCUCGUUAAUAAUCGUGUAAAACGUGUCUGUAUUCAGUGUCAUCAGCGUUGGGCAAAACUGAAGCAUCAAUCAUAGGAAAGGCUGCACUUCGUCUUAGGGAACCAAAAAUUGUUGAAUAAAAAGUAUCAAAUCUUCUUUAGUACACAUGAAAGUAUCGAAUACAGUUUUCGACCUGAAACAUUCGAAAAUGCAAGUUAAAAAUCGUGGAAACUAAUGGUUUAAAAAAUACAAUUGUGUGAAGAAAGUGUAUUUUGCGUACUUUGACAGGUUAGUACAACGCCAUAUUGCUUCUAGCUAUCUUCAGAUUGGUUCGCGCAUACAUUCGAAAUCGAACUUCGGAGUCGCUUCCACGACGAAGACUUUACCGAUCGCCUAUGUGAAUUUUUGUGGCGUAGGUUUCGUAAAAUUAACGAAACACAUCUUAUGGAUUUUUUGAUAGCAGCAAUCAAGAAGCAAUAUGUUUUUAAAUAAAGUAAGCGGAAGUUAGUCAUUUCAGCGAACCAAUCAGAGAAUGCGUAGAAACAAUAUGGCGUCGUACUGAUCUGUCAAACAUCACUAAAUACGUACAUUUUUACACAAUUGUAUUUUUAAAACCAUUUUUAACUUGCAUUUUCGAAUGUUUCAGGUCAAAAACUACAAGACUACAUAUUUUGGAACCAUUAAUUUCUGCUCCUCUAAAACGAAGUUUGACCCUUGAAAAGUAUCGAAAGAUUGUUCAAACGAUGAAUGGAAAGUGAGACAUUCAAACUAUUCAGGACGCGCACCCCCGACUCGAUCCUCGUGUAUUUGAAGAAGAUUCUAAUGCGUCUUGGGGCCAGCCGAGUUGGUCGUGACCCCUUCGUUGCCCUUCUCGAGUCCCAGGCCACCCAUGAGGCUCUUGUUAAUUGGCUCCGGCGAGGCUUCCGACUCCUCGCUGCUAGGUGAACCGGGAGACGAGACUAUCACCUAUGCAAACAGAGACGCCGUAUCGCCAGCGUCGUUUUCCAUUAGUCAUGCAAGCUUCUUCGACUCAAACAGGAAGCUGUGUGUGAAAGUAUAUUAACCCUUUGCACUCUGACCGAAGCGUUAGAUUUCAAAACCCAAUAAGAAACGUGUCUAUUCUUGUGACGAAGGAUGAUUAUGAAAUUAAUGUGCAAAGAGUUCUGUAUUUUCAUGGAAGAAGAUUUUCAUGAUUAUGUGUGCAAGGUGGAUGCAAAUGUUUCUAUGGUGAAAGCUCCGCUGAAGGAUUCUUGAAGCCAAAAUGAGACUUCUUGUUGAACAAAAUGUUUUUGUCUUUGAAUGGCGAUGAUGAAGCGGAACUGAACUGUAUCUAAAGAGAAUAUGAGAUGCUUUAAAUUAACAUUGUUACAUGGUUAAAAGUAGAAUUAGUCAUUUAAGUGUCUCAUCUUGCAUACUAUACUUUGGCAUUCUUGCAUUCAUCGACGAAGGGUUAAGAUUUGUGUGUUCGUUGGACAAGGAUAUCUGAGAACUCAAAGAAUAUUGUGUACUUGAAUACAGUUUCAAUAAUGCACAGGUAAUUCAUAGUCUUACAUAAAAAAGGUGAAUAUAAAACCGAAUUCAAGAUGCAACACACUCAUGGCGCAAUUACCACCGUUCUAGGUGUACUAAUGAUCUCUCAGACUGAUUUAGAGUGUUGUCAAAAGUUGAGUGGUAGGUCAAUUAAAAUAAACUACUUAACACUCUACGCUUGCUACUCUUAAGAAGGACCACUUUCCCUAUGUUUUCUCUUCGUUCCAAUUUUAAUUAAGUAAACAUCUAUGCGACGAGAGGUGAAAGUACAUUGUAAGAGUACUCUAAACUCUGUGCAUGAACGCUUGUACAUCAACCAACUGAUAGACAGAGUAAACAUAACAAGUUACUUUGUGUUUUAAUUAGACGGUUAUUUGGUUUCUUAGGUUUAAAUUGUAUACAGCGUAGAAUCUUUGGUAAUCGUUUGAGUGGAUUGCAUUUCUUCAAUGGUCCCGUACAUUUUUACACAGUUCCUUGGAACCACCCACGCAGACUCUGUGCAAAUAAAGUAGAAUGGAAGGUGACAGAUGAAUGAGUGUAUAGAUUGGUUCUCUGAUAUCUGAAUAUUCGGGCCAUGCAAUAUGAUAAUGAUAACUAAAGGCUGAUUUAACGCGAAUGAAAACGAUAAUAACGAUAAUACCUGUGCAAGAAGCGGCGUCUCUGUGCUGUCAGCGGUUUGGUAGAGCCGGCAAUUUGCGCUUGCUCUGAAGAAUACGUGCCCAAACGAAAAAAGAUAAAGAAGACAACGUAAAUCGUCACUAUAUAAUAAGAAAGACGUCGAGAGAGAGAGAGAAAGAGAGAGACUGGCGGCAAAGAGAAACGAAAAUCAUAAAGCAACCGGUAUCUUCAUCGUUGCACCCAAAUAUAAAUGUACAAGAACUGACAUCGAGACAUGCACGGAGGCGUUUUAUUUACACGGAUACAACACGCGACAUCGUUUCUUUGCAAAUUGUUUGCCAGGCAGAACAAGCUCAAUUUUUCAAAUGAAAUUGUUUGAUCAAAUGUUCUCUUAAUUUUCUUCAUCUUUCAAGGAAAGCAGUAGGAUUCGUUUGUAGUUUAGGUGCAUAGCGAACAGUCUGCAACAACUGGUGAUUAACAUAAAAAAAAAAAAAAGAUCGCCGAGAGAGCCACACGUGAACCUGGAACCGAUAUGAGCUGAGUAAAUGAAUGGAACGUAUGCAUGAAUGAAUGAGUAAAUGAAUGGAACGAACGUUUCACUGAUCCGAGAUUAUGAAAGCGCGUCGGGAUUUGUUCUGCGAAGCGAAACAAAAGGGAAUGAACAGAGUCUUUAUACUUUGCCUAUCAUGCUGUUCACAACACGCUUCAGAUAUAUAUAAUGCAUGUGAUACACGGAUAGAAAAAGCGAAGACUGUUGUCGAAUUUCUUGAAGCGUUUCAUUAAACUUUCCUGGUAUUUCUCUUCUUAAUUUACAAUUUUUAUAAUAUGUGAAACGAAAACCAGGAAAGUUGUAUCUUUGACCUUCCUUUCCUGUCCAUCCUCUGUACAAAUGUUUUGCGAAAUGUAUUCUUCCAAGUACGUAUUCUUUACUUACUUAAGGCGUCAAUGAAGAAAGUGGAACGUCUACAGAGGAGGGAAGAAGAGGUUGGUGAAAGAUUGGAACGAACGUCGCCGAGAUAAAGCGAGAGUAGUGGGAGAGCACUAACCUGUCGAGGCUUGACCGGUGGUGGAGGACGAGUGGAGGCCGCGAGAACCGCGGCUGUUGAAGUUGGGGGCUGUUGAUGAAGUGAGUGUUGCUGCUGCCAGGGCAGCCCUGUUCGUCCCAAUGUUCCCUGCAUUUGAUGCGGCACCUGUUGCUGCUGCUGUUGCUGCUGCUGAUGCUGCUGCAUUUGGUGUUGACUGUUGUUGUGCUCUGCUUGUUGCGUAACUCGAGGAAGCGCUGAAGCGACUGAAGAAAUCUUCCGAACUGUCUGUGAAAUGAGCGACUGAUUAUUCGGCUCUUAUUCUCACGGUACAAUUGUUUGAUCGGAACGAUUCUUCAUUGAGAUCAUUUCGCAAUCAUUUUCUACCCCGGAGUUUAGUUUCAAGAAAAUAUAUUGUUAGGAAUGACGACAUUACCUGACUUAACGGGCCAUAUUUCAAGGAGAUACUUGAGUACAGCUAUUGGCUGUUGGAAGUCUAACGGUGGCCCAUUCUCCUCGGAAUGUAACAUCAAAACUGGCCCGAAACAGACUGCCAGACUUGCUGGUGACAUUUUGUUGCACUGCGACACCACCAUUGCCAAGUGGUCCAACAAAUACAAACCCUGUUCACUUUUGGCAAACAGUCGAGUAUACUGAACAUGAGUUUGGCGCUGCCUUGUGGAUCAUCUGGUAAACAGACGGCCAGUGCAUCGACCAUCAUUUGGUAGAGGCACUUUGUGAAAAGUGGUUCAGGAAGUUCUCGUAGGUAAUCCUUCAGCACACCUGAGGACAGAUUAUCAUAAAUUAAAUGUCUAUUGAAAUUGAUCUGUAGAGCAGGCCUGUCUAACUGCUACACGGGAGAGGGUCAAAGGGUAGACCCUCGCCCACCACGAGGGGGGGUCCCGGGGUCUUUCCUACAGCCCCAGUGCAGACCAUCGUGGAGCAUCACACUAAUCCCACACUACUCCCGGCCCCUCCCCAGGGGAGUAGGGGGUGUCUUUUGAAGAUUUCUAUCUACUAGAAGGGAAAGAGCCACUGCUUCAGACUUCCCCCACCAUCCAGUAGUGUCAGUAUUGGGGCAGCGGUUUCCUAGGACCAGGGAAUACGCGUCAAAUAUUGGAAGAGUCGGGAAACCAACUGGAAGAGUGGGAGGAGCCAAGCUCCGUGGUGGGGGGGUCCCGGGGUCCUUCCUACAGCCCCAGUGCAGACCACCGUGGAGUAUCAUACUAAUCCCACACUACUCCCGACCCCUCCCCAGGGGAGUAGGGGGUGUCUUUUGAAGAUUUCUAUCUGCUAGAAGGGAAAGAGCCACUGCUUCAGACUUCCCCCACCAUCCAGUAGUGUCAGUAUUGGGGCAGCGGUUUCCUAGGACCAGGGAAUACGCGUCAAAUAUUGGAAGAGUCGGGACACCACCUGGAAGAGUGGGAGGGGCCAAGCUCGAGCUCCGUGGUGGGGGAAGGAGCCACGAGUGGCCCGUGGGCCACAGGUCAGACAGGUGACAGAUUCACUGAACGA